CAGACCUAGUAAUGGACACUUUUCCCCUUAAAAAUUUGAAAAUAGGCAUUGUGUGGUACUAACGCUGUAGAUGGGUAGGUCAAAUAAUCAGUAGGUCCUUUGGUCGCAUGCAGGUUCAACAGCUGCGGCUAAGUUCACUCUUAUUGAUCUUUUAAACGAACUAUUGUGGCGGCGUGGGUUAUGUGAUGAGGUUUUUUGACAUACUAAAUUAAAGUGUCGUUAGCGUCUACUGUGCGUUUAUUGAAACGUUGUAGUUAUUUUUCCCACGCCAGAAUGGGGAAAACAAAGAAAAAAGAAAAAAGAACUUUUUUUUCAUACUCAGAAGAGAACAUGAUUAUGGCAAUUGAGGCAGUGACAAAGAAUGGAAUUAACAAAAAGGCUGCAGCUCGUGAGUUUAAGGUUCCUCGCAGCACUUUGGUACGAAGGUUAGCGUUAGCAACUCCUUACAGCAGAAAAAUGGGCCCAGCUACAGAAAUUCCCGAAGCAGAAGAGAAAAUUAUCGAAAACUGGGUGUUGGCAAUGGCCAGGAAAGGAUUUCCAGUUCACCGACAAAAUCUCAUCUUAUCAGUGAAAAAAAUGGUCGAGGAUAUGGGAAAGGAAACCAAAUAUUUUCUAAAUGGAACACCUGGAAGAUCAUGGUUUAGGGGUUUUUUGAAACGUCACCCUAAGAUAAAGGAAAAAUUCAUAAUUUUUGCACCAGUAGGUACUUAACUCUUUCUGUAUAGGAAUAGUUCUGAAACAUGAUCCGGAGGGCGCAGAAGUUCGAACUAUGGUCAGUGCUGGAGUUCAAUCCUGGAAAUGGCCUACAAAAGAGGAUGUUUUAUACUAUUUUAUGGAUAGUAUUAUAUGCAACAUUCAUAAUCCUAAAUUGAAAAACAAUAGAGGCCACUAUAGUGUGCCCGAAAUGAAUAAAUAUGAAUAAAAUAUAUUUUUGAAACA